rnacentral:lncRNA from 1 species
UCGGCAGCGUGCACACGAGAGCCAGCGCUGCGCGGAGCCGCGGCCGGCAUCGCCCUGGUUAGUACAGAGCAAAGGCCACAGAGGUGUCGUCCCGCCGCCUCCGUGCUCCUGCGGUGCCAGAGUUCGGGACGCAGGGCCUGCCCUGCCCCAGCCACCCAGACCUGGGGGAGAGGGGAUUGCAACCCAAACUCCAGCUCUGCCUCUAGUAGACGAUGGAACAAAACAAGACGAAAUGACACAGCUAAUUUUAAAAAGAAAUAAAGAAGUUUAAGGCCCAGGAUUUCAGAAAAUUUUGGAAGUGGGCCAGGGGCGGAGCUCUCUGGACGUCGGGGACGCAGCCUUUGCAGCACUGGACGCCUGUAUGAAACUGCCGAUCCCUCGCCAGGACUUAGCUCUGCCCACCCGGUGGAAGAAAGUUAGCAACAGUGGGAGCAAAGCUGCUGACUCUGAGAACUGCAGACUAGGUGCUGGGGACUGGCGUCAUCGGCAGUGGCUCUGGACCUGGAGCAGCACCCCUAGGCCAUCAGUCACUGCCCCAAAGCUGCAGUCACCUCGGAGGAUUCCAGGAACAGAAGACCCUCAAGGACGCCCAAGAUGGGGUUACCCUCCCUGAGUGGCCACGCCAGGAGGGUGCUGAGGCUGUCCAGAGCAGGAGCCGUUGGUCAUCCGGGCUAGUAGAUACCCCCAGAGGACCAGCCCAAGCGCUGCAGCUGGGGUCACCACAGCUCCCCCGAGAUGAGUGAUUAUGCACCCUCCUGUCCCUGUGCCCAGCCCCCUCCUCAUGGAAACCGGAAGCUCACCCCAGUAUCCCUGAAGAGAGGGCGACAACUCCCAGCUCCCACCCUCCGCCCAGGGUAGCUGCACUGAUUAAAUUCCCUUCCUGCUUCACAGCUAUUCUUUCUGUCUGCUCUUGGGGUGAAAAAGGCUAUUGAGCUGAAGUCGAGAGGAGUCAAGAUGCUGCCCAGCAAGGACAGUAGCCACAAGAACUCUGUCUUGAGUCAAGGAGGUGCCUCCUCGGCCUCUGACAUGUGUCCAGACCCCGGGAUCCCAGAGAACGGGAGAAGAGCGGGCACCGAUUUCAGG